rnacentral:snRNA from 1 species
GUGCUCACUUCGGCAGCACAUCCGCUAAAACUGGAACUCUACAGAGAGGAUUAGUGUGGGUCUGCUCAAGGAUGACUACAAAUUGAUGAAACACUUUACAAUUUUUU